rnacentral:rRNA from 1 species
UCCGGUUGAUCCUGCCAGAGGUNACUGCUAUCGAGGUUCGACUAAGCCAUGCGAGUCGAAUGUAGCAAUACAUGGCGUACUGCUCAGUAACACGUGGACAACCUACCCUGAGGCCGGGGAUAAACCCGGGAAACUGGGUAUAAUACCCGAUAGAUCUAGAAUGCUGGAAUGCUUUUAGAUCUAAAGUUCCGACGCCUCAGGAUGGGUCUGCGGCCUAUCAGGGUAGUAGUAGGUGUAACGUACCUACUAGCCUACGACGGGUAAGGGUUGUGAGAGCAAGAGCCCGGAGAUGGAUUCUGAGACACGAAUCCAGGCCCUACGGGGUGCAGCAGGCGCGAAACCUUUACAAUGCUGGCAACAGCGAUAAGGGGACCUCGAGUGCCACGAUACAAUCGUGGCUGUCUAGUUGCCUAAAAAGCAAUUGAUAGCAAGGGCCGGGCAAGACCGGUGCCAGCCGCCGCGGUAACACCGGCGGCUCGAGUGGUAACCGCUAUUAUUGGUCUAAAGGGUCUGUAGCCGGCUUAGUCAGUCUUUUGAGAAAUCUGGCCGCUCAACGGUCAGGCGUUCAGGGGAUACUGCUAAGGCUCGAGACCGGGAGAGGUGAGAGGUACUUCAGGGGUAGGGGUGAAAUCUUGUAAUCCUUGAAGGACCACCAGUGGCGAAGGCGUCUCACCAGAACGGAUCUGACGGCAAGGGACGAAAGCUAGGGGCACGAACCGGAUUAGAUACCCGGGUAGUCCUAGCCGUAAACGAUACUCGCUAGGUGUCGGCCACGGUGCGACCGUGG